AUAGGAAUGCAGCUGUCCAGGGCUUUGGGGGCCCAACCCUCACCCCAGGGUGUCCAGAAGGUCGCACAUAGAGUCAAAGAUUGUUUUUCUGAAGCUUCAAGAUUUAAAGUUUGCCUUGUUGGAUUUUGGACUUACUUGAGACCUGUUACCCAUUUCUUCUUGCCUAUUGCUCCCUUUUAGAAUGGGAAUGUCUGUCGUAUGCCUGUACACCAUUGUAUUUUGGAAGCACAUAACUUGAUUUCACAGGCUCACAACGGGAGAGGAAUUUGCCUCAUGAUGAAUUGUACCUUGAGUCACAUCCAAAUGUUAUGAAGAUGAUAUUUAGAUGAGACUUCAGAGUCAGACUCUAAAGUUGAUGCUGGAACAAGUUAAGACUUUUGAUGUUAUUGGGAUGGAAUGAUUAUAUUUUGUAAGUAAGAAGGACAUAUAUUUUGGGGGGCCAGGGGUGGAAUUCUACAGUUUGUGUCUCCUCCAAAACUCAUAUUGAAAUUUAAUCUACAAUGAAACACUCUUUAAGAGGUAGGGCCUUCAGAGGGUAGGCCCUGAGGGCUCCACUCUCACAGUGCUUUAGAAGAGGACUUGAGGGGGUGGGUUUGCCCCUUCUGUCUCUUCCUCCAUGUAAGGACACAGAUUUCAGACCCUCUGAAAAAUGCAGCAACAAGGCAUUAUCUACUAGUGGCUUGAUAUUGGACUUUGCAGACUCCAGAACUGUGAGAAACGAAUUCCUAUUAUUUGUAAAUUAUCUAGUCUUAGGUAUGUUGCUAUAGCAGCACAAACGGACUAUGAGACUCAGUAACCAAAAUGACUCAAAUUAUAUCUUGUGGCUGAACCAUGUGGAAUAUUAACCUCUGGGGUUGUGUGACAGGUAAUAACAGGGUUGGGGAGCACAUUAGCUUAUACCUUCCUCAGCCUAAAAAUGAUACAUGUCAUUUCCUUGAUAGGCCAUUAGCUUGCUGUAAUCACAUGAUCCAAACCUAACUGUAAGGGAUGCUGGGAAAAGCAGGGGAGCAGUGGAAUAUUUGAUGAGUACUGUUUAUACAACAGCAGUUCUAUAAAUAUUUCCUUGAGGGCAAGAAUCUGUUUUAUUUACUGAUAUUCCCAAACAUCUAGAAAAGUGCCUGACAUUUAGUGUUCACUAAUAAUUACUGAAUCAAUUAAUUGAUGAAUUAAUAAAUGGCAUGUGAAGCUGGUAUGAAUCUAUUCUGAAAAGUUGCCAGAUAGAAUGAUAUGCAAGUUCAGGUUAAUAUUUCAGCAACAAUUAGUGUUAACAAGAAAAAGGUAUUUUGGUAAGAAUUUAUUUGAAGUUGACUAACAUUCUCAAAUGUAGUUACAGAUUACAUAACAUCUUUUUU
rnacentral:lncRNA from 10 species